GAGGACUUCAGAUUUACUCUUUUGAUUUCUGACCGUUGCUUAAUGGGAUCCGUGCGAUCGGAGUCCCGAAAUCUGAGCAUCUAGAUGAUGAUGUCUGCGCGUAUACUGACCAUCUCAGUUUUGGAUUGACCAGAGGGCGACAGUAUGUAUGUUUUACUGUUAAGGAGGAUAGUAUGUUAAGUUGAGAUUGCAAUUUUCCUUGGAAUAUUGGUG
rnacentral:misc_RNA from 1 species